rnacentral:lncRNA from 1 species
GCUCAAGGGUGAAGGUCCUUUCCCAUUUCCCUUCCCUUGGGAAUCCACCUGCCUGUCCCUGAACUGCAGUUGCAUCUCUUUCUUGGUGGUCCACACAGGGUUGAUUGAUGGCAUCUCCCCCAGCCACGCAAGCACAAUGCCAUGACUGAGACUGAGCUGACCUGCUACUUCAACUUCUCCUCCUCACCUGGAAGCCCUACCCUCAUACCCAGACCUGAAAUUCCUCCAGGUAGUAGCCCUGGAACACAAGCAGAGUGGUUAUCAUUAUGACAGGCCUGCACAGCACUUGCAGAGAUGGGAAGGAAGGAUGAGAGCAGAGAUGAAGAGCCAAGACGCCUGGAUUAAAGAAAAGCAAG